rnacentral:rRNA from 1 species
UAAGGAACAAAGGGCACACAGUGGAUGCCUUGGCACCAAGAGGCGAUGAAGGACGGAACUAACACCGAAAUGCUCGGGGAAGCUGUAAGUAAGCGACGAUUCCGAGAUGUCCGAAUGGGGGAACCCACUAUGUUGAAGACAUAGUAUCUAACACACGUGUUAGAGGCAAUACGUAGGGAACUGAAAUAUCUAAGUACCUACAGGAAAAGAAAGUAAUAACGAUUCUGUCAGUAGCGACGAGCGAACGCGGAGGAGCCAGAUACCUAAGGUUACAAAAUUAUAUAAUAGAUGAACGAUGUGGGAAAAUCGGUCGAAGAAGGUGAGAGCCCUGUAGUCGAAAUUAUAUAAUCCAUGGUAUCAGAAAGUAGGGCGGGACACGUGGAAUCCCGUUUGAAGAUAGGAGGACCAUCUCCUAAGGCUAAAUACUACUUGGUGACCGAUAGUGAACCAGUACAGUGAUGGAAAGGUGAAAAGAACCCAGAGAUGG